UACGUAGGGGGCAAGCGUUAUCCGGAUUUACUGAGUGUAAAGGGAGCGUAGACGGCAGCGCAAGUCUGGAGUGAAAUCCCAUGGCUUAACCAUGGAACUGCUUUGGAAACUGUGCAGCUGGAGUGCAGGAGAGGUAAGCGGAAUUCCUGGUGUAGCGGUGAAAUGCGUAGAUAUAUGGAAGAACACCAGUGGCGAAAGCGGCUCUCUGGUCUGUAACUGACGUUGGGGCUCGAAAGCGUGGGGAGCAAACAGG
rnacentral:rRNA from 1 species